rnacentral:rRNA from 1 species
CCUACGGGGGGCUGCAGUGAGGAAUAUUGGUCAAUGGGCGCGAGCCCGAACCAGCCACGUAGCGUGAAGGAUGACUGCCCUACGGUUUGUAAACUUCUUUUAUAAAGGAAUAAAGUGUGGCACGUGUGCCUUUUUGUAUGUCCUUUAUGUAUAAGGCUCGGGUAACUCCGUGCCCGCAGCCGCGGGAAUAAGGAGGAUCCGAGCGUUAUCCGGAUUUCUUGGGUUUAAAGGGAACGUAGAUGGGUUGUUAAGUCAGUUGAGAACGUUUGCGGCUAAACCGUAAAAGUGCAAUUGAUACUGGCAGCCUUGAGGACAGUUGAGGUAGGCGGAAUUCGUGGUGUAGCGGUGAAAUGCGUAGAUAUUACGAAGAACUCCGAUUGCGAAGGCAGCCUACUAAACUGCCACUGACAUUGAUGCACGAAAGUGUGGGUAUCAAACAGGAUUAGAUACCCCGGUAGUC